AUGGAGCAGGAGGGCACCACAGCCCACCAGCGGCACGGCGGCGGCACCAUCACCAACGCCCUCUCCCUGUUCGCCUCCCGCCUCUCUCACCACAGGUUCGCAGACGAGGAGCUCCGGGUACUGGAGGCGGCGCUCUCCGCCGGCGGCGACGUUGCCGCGCUUCUCAGCACGCGCUCUGCAGCCCGGAAACUUCUGCGUGAGAGCGUGGCCGGGGCGUGCGCCGCGGCUGCGGUCGAGGGGGACGGGGCGAGGCUCUCCGUCGCCGACUUCUUCGCGCGCGCCUUCGCCCUCUCGGGAGAUGUCGAGAGCUGCCUUGCUAUGAGAUAUGAGGCGCUGGUUCUGCGAGAGGCCAAAUACUCCGACGACCUUGAUCUGCAUGUGUUCCAUGAAGAAUGGUUAACCUUUGCACAGGACUCUCUUGAUAAUGGGUUCUACACCAUUGCUUCCAAGGCUUUUGCAAAUGCUCUUGUGCACAUUCAUCCCAGCCACUUGGACUCUACUAAUUCGACUCUGAAGAAGAACAAGGUCAAUGAUAUAAGAGGACUCCAAACCUUGGCCAAGUCAUUAUCUGCACAGCGUUCUGUUCAGACGCAAUCCGCUGAAUACAUGAAAAGGAAAACUUCAGGCGUUAGUGAAAAUUGCAAUUUACACUCAGAAAAACGGAAGUUACCGGCGAACUUGAUGUUUAGGCUGGGGAUCAAAACAAGGAACACACAAAAACUACUUCUUAGCCGCAAGAGAAACUUAGAAGAGGUUUGA
rnacentral:rRNA from 1 species